UAGGGAAUCUUCGGCAAUGGACGAAAGUCUGACCGAGCAACGCCGCGUGAGUGAAGAAGGUUUUCGGAUCGUAAAACUCUGUUGUUAGAGAAGAACAAGGACGUUAGUAACUGAACGCCCCCUGACGGUAUCUAACCAGAAAGCCACGGCUAACUACGUGCCAGCAGCCGCGGUAAUACGUAGGUGGCAAGCGUUGUCCGGAUUUAUUGGGCGUAAAGCGAGCGCAGGCGGUUUCUUAAGUCUGAUGUGAAAGCCCCCGGCUCAACCGGGGAGGGUUAUUGGAAACUGGGAGACUUGAGUGCAGAAGAGGAGAGUGGACUUCCAUGUGUAGCGGUGAAAUGCGUAGAUAUAUGGAGGAACACCAGUGGCGAAGGCGGCUCUCUGGUCUGUAACUGACGCUGAGGCUCGAAAGCGUGGGGAGCAAACAGG
rnacentral:rRNA from 1 species